UACGUAGGGUGCAAGCGUUGUCCGGAAUUAUUGGGCGUAAAGAGCUCGUAGGCGGUUUGUCGCGUCUGCUGUGAAAACUCGGGGCCUAACCCCGGGCCUGCAGUGGGUACGGGCAGACUAGAGUGCGGUAGGGGAGACUGGAAUUCCUGGUGUAGCGGUGAAAUGCGCAGAUAUCAGGAGGAACACCGGUGGCGAAGGCGGCCCCCUGGACCGGUACUGACGCUGAGGCGCGAAAGCGUGGGUAGCAAACGG
rnacentral:rRNA from 1 species